rnacentral:rRNA from 1 species
GAUGAACGCUGGCGGCGUGCUUAACACAUGCAAGUCGAACGUGAGGGGGUAGCAAUAUCCUUGAAAGUGGCGCACGGGUGAGUAAUACGUAGGUAACCUGCCCUGGAGUGGGGGAUAACAGCUAGAAAUGGCUGCUAAUACCGCAUGAGGCCGAGACACUGGGAAGUGUUUUGGCGAAAACUCUGGUGCUUCAGGAGGGGCCUGCGGCCGAUUAGCUAGUUGGCGGGGUAAGAGCCCACCAAGGCAGUGAUCGGUAGCUGGUCUGAGAGGAUGAUCCGCCACACUGGAACUGAGACACGGUCCAGACUCCUACGGGAGGCAGCAGUGGGGGAAUUUUUGGACAAUGGGGGCAACCCUGAUCCAGCCAUGCCGCGUGAGUGAAGAAGGCCUCGGGUUGUUAAAGGCUCUUUCGGCCGGGAAGGAAUACGUAUGGGUUAAGUACCUGUGCGGAUGACGGUACGGCGAUAAGAAGCGACCGGCUAACUACGUG